GUCUUGUAAUUGGAAUGAUGGUGACCUAAACCCUCACCAGAGUAACAAUUGGAGGGCAAGUCUGGUGCCAGCAGCCGCGGUAAUUCCAGCUCCAAUAGCGUAUAUUAAACUUGUUGCAGUUAAAAAGCUCGUAGUUGAAUUUUUGCGUGGUGUUAAUAUUGACUGAUGUCGAGAUUGCACUUCGCUUUUGGGAUUUUUCCCUUUUUACUUUGAGAAAAUUAGAGUGUUUCAAGCAGACUUUUGUCUUGAAUACUUCAGCAUGGAAUAAUAGAGUAGGACUUUGGUUCUAUUUUGUUGGUUUGUGAACCUUAGUAAUGGUUAAUAGGAACGGUUGGGGGCAUUCGUAUUUAACUGUCAGAGGUGAAAUUCUUAGAUUUGUUAAAGACGAACUACUGCGAAAGCAUUUGCCAAGGACGUUUUCAUUAAUCAAGAACGAAAGUUAGGGGAUCGAAGACGAUCAGAUACCGUCGUAGUCCUAACCAUAAACUA
rnacentral:rRNA from 1 species